rnacentral:rRNA from 1 species
UACGGAGGGUGCAAGCAUUACUCGGAAUUACUGGGCGUAAAGCGCACGUAGGUGGUUUGCUAAGUCAGCUGUGAAAUCCCCGGGCUCAACCUGGGCACUGCAGUUGAAACUGGCAAGCUAGAGUAGGGUAGAGGGGUGUGGAAUUCCAGGUGUAGCGGUGAAAUGCGUAGAUAUCUGGAGGAACACCAAUAGCGAAGGCAGCUCGCUGGGACGUUACUGACACUGAGGCGCGAAAGCGUGGGGAGCGAACAGG